GAUGAACGCUAGCGACAGGCUUAACACAUGCAAGUCGAGGGGCAGCGGGGGUGAUGGCUUGCCAUCACCUGCCGGCGACCGGCGCACGGGUGAGUAACACGUAUGCAACCUGCCCGCCACAGGGGGAUAAGCGGAAGAAAUUCCGUCUAAUACCGCGUGACGCGGCGCCGGGGCAUCCCGGUGCCGCCAAAGGGAUUACCGGUGGCGGAUGGGCAUGCGGCGCAUUAGCUAGUCGGCGGGGUAACGGCCCACCGAGGCGACGAUGCGUAGGGGUUCUGAGAGGAAGGUCCCCCACACUGGUACUGAGACACGGACCAGACUCCUACGGGAGGCAGCAGUGAGGAAUAUUGGUCAAUGGGCGCGAGCCUGAACCAGCCAAGUCGCGUGAGGGAUGACGGUCCUACGGAUUGUAAACCUCUUUUGCCGGGGAGCAAGCGUGCGUUCGUGAACGCGCGUCGAGAGUACCCGGAGAAAAAGCAUCGGCUAACUCCGUGCCAGCAGCCGCGGUAAUACGGAGGAUGCGAGCGUUAUCCGGAUUUAUUGGGUUUAAAGGGUGCGUAGGCGGGAUGCCAAGUCAGCGGUAAAAAUGCGGUGCUCAACGCCGUCGAGCCGUUGAAACUGGCGUUCUUGAGUGGGCGAGAAGUAUGCGGAAUGCGUGGUGUAGCGGUGAAAUGCAUAGAUAUCACGCAGAACUCCGAUUGCGAAGGCAGCAUACCGGCGCCCUACUGACGCUGAGGCACGAAAGCGUGGGUAUCGAACAGGAUUAGAUACCCUGGUAGUCCACGCAGUAAACGAUGAAUGCUAACUGUCCGGCUCGAAUGAGCGCUGGGCGGUACAGCGAAAGCGUUAAGCAUUCCACCUGGGGAGUACGCCGGCAACGGUGAAACUCAAAGGAAUUGACGGGGGCCCGCACAAGCGGAGGAACAUGUGGUUUAAUUCGAUGAUACGCGAGGAACCUUACCCGGGCUCAAACGCAGGAUGACGGGUCCCGAAAGGGGUCUUUCUUCGGACAUUCUGCGAGGUGCUGCAUGGUUGUCGUCAGCUCGUGCCGUGAGGUGUCGGCUUAAGUGCCAUAACGAGCGCAACCCCUGUCCACAGUUGCCAGCAGGUAAAGCUGGGGACUCUGUGGAGACUGCCGGCGCAAGCUGCGAGGAAGGCGGGGAUGACGUCAAAUCAGCACGGCCCUUACGUCCGGGGCGACACACGUGUUACAAUGGCAGGUACAGCGGGAUGCCACGGGGCGACCCGGCGCUGAACCCGAAAACCUGUCUCAGUUCGGAUUGGAGUCUGCAACCCGACUCCAUGAAGCUGGAUUCGCUAGUAAUCGCGCAUCAGCCACGGCGCGGUGAAUACGUUCCCGGGCCUUGUACACACCGCCCGUCAAGCCAUGGAAGCCGGGGGUACCUGAAGUGCGUGACCGCGAGGAGCGCCCUAGGGUAAAACCGGUGACUGGGGCUAAGUCGUAACAAGGUAGCCGUACCGGAAGGUGCGGCUGGAACACCUCCUUUCUGGAGCGGACGCCGCUGUGCGCCGUCCACGGAACCUGUCAUCGGCAAACGGCCGCUUAUCGUUCGGCCGGACAUCAGGGAUAGCGGUUUUCGGUGCUGCUUCGUCGGAAUCUAUUGUCAGCAUAACCUUCGGCAGAGGCCGCAGGGGCGGGUUUUUGCCUGCCCGGCCGCCGGAGUUGGAUGCAGUCUCUUAGCUCAGUUGGUUAGAGCGCUACACUGAUAAUGUAGAGGUCGGCAGUUCAACUCUGCCAGGGACUACACUGAAAGAGAGCACAUUGACAUGUUGGAAGCCGGAUACGGCCUUUUUAAAGGGUCGUAUCAUAAAGGUAAAAUCACGAGCAAAUCAAAAAAGAAUAAGAACAGAACACAGAGCGUAAGCCGAGUAAAGUUCUGACGCGAAAAAGGCGACUUUGCUUAGGAAUAAGGAAAGGAGAGAAGGGCACAUGAAGGAUGCCUUGGCUCUCGGAGGCGACGAAGGACGUGACAAGCUGCGAUAAGCCGUGCGUAGGGGCAAAUACCCGUAUGAUGCGCGGAUUUCCGAAUGGGGCAACCCGGCGCGCGCAGGCGCGCCAUCCGCCUAUGGCGGAAGCGAACCCGGGGAACUGAAACAUCUCACUACCCGGAGGAAAAGAAAACAAAAGUGAUUGCGCAAGUAGUGGCGAGCGAACGCGCAGAAGCCCAAACCGGAGCUGUCGAGGCAGCAUCCGGGGUUGUAGGACCGCCGAUAAAGCUUACACCGUGACGGUUAGCAGAAGGGCCUGGAAAGGCCCGCCGCAGAGGGUGAGAGCCCCGUAAGCGACAACCGUCAGGUGGGCGAGGCGGCACCUGAGUAGUGCGGGACACGAGAAAUCCUGCAUGAACCCGCGGGGACCAUCCCGUAAGGCUAAAUACUACCGAGAGACCGAUAGCGAACC
rnacentral:rRNA from 1 species